ACAGAGGGUGCAAGCGUUAAUCGGAAUUACUGGGCGUAAAGCGUGCGUAGGUGGUUCGUUAAGUCCGUUGUGAAAGCCCCGGGCUCAACCUGGGAACUGCAAUGGAAACUGGCGGGCUUGAAUGCGGCAGAGGGGGGUGGAAUUCCGCGUGUAGCAGUGAAAUGCGUAGAGAUCCGGAGGAACACCAGUGGCGAAGGCGACACGCUGGGCCGUACCUGACACUGAUGCGCGACAGCAUGGGGAACAAACAGGA
rnacentral:rRNA from 1 species